rnacentral:lncRNA from 1 species
AUGCAAGGGAUGCUGGGAAAUAUUUUCUCCCCUGAAAACUGGAGCACCUGGGCCAUCUGGUGUGCCACAGAUGCCCCUCGGGAAUCUUCCAGCAUGUGUGGUGCGCGUCUCCUGCUUCACGGAAGCCGUGCCCAAGCCCCUGGAAAAGCCCCGUCGUGCAGCCCAGGGCAGGGGUCCUGUCUGGGUGAUGGAGAAGGAUCCCAGGGAGACCCACAGCCCAGGGAGGAGGGGGAACACGUGCCCCUCCCCCCUGCCCAGCGGGCACAGGUGAGCCGGCCUGGGGAACAUGACCACAGGAGACGGUUGACCCUGCACCGCGUCCCUCAGGAUCCCCACCAGCCCCGCCCGGAGCCAGGAGCCCCGAGGCGAGUGCUACGUGUGGCUUCGGAAGCGAAAUCUCAUGUUUCUCAAGAACAAGGCUGUCAGAGCCCGCGUCUCCUCACUGCCCUCCUGGCUUCCCAAGACUCGCCCACCGGCAUCUGCACGCGGACGUCUGGCGGACAUGUCCGCCCAGCGUGUCCCCGUCACCUCCAAAGCCCCCGCGCCGUCCCGUUCACCACACGUCACCACAUUCCCCCCGCGGCUCAGACGGGAGCCCCAAGACGAGCCGUAGGCCCCGCGGUCCCUCCCCCGAUAUCCGGCCAACGGGAGGCCUCCUUGACUCCCAGACCUCUGAUGUCCAGAUGUGGCCCAAAGACACAGCCUCAGUGCAGAAACAGGAGCGUCUUGUUCCAAGUAGGAUUGACAUUGGUGAGCUCGAUGGGGCAUCCAUUGUGUCCUCCGCCCCAGAGUGAGGGCUGCCCAGGCGACAGGUCUCGGAUCCCCGAAACGGAUUCCCAGAGAUGUGUUCGGGGAGACACACAUCUCGAUCUGCAGUCUCAUUUGGAAUUACAGGUCCACACGGUCUCAGCACCCAAGUCAGUCAGGACGGGUCUGCAAGGUCGCAGGGGCUUAAAACAACAAAGGGGUAGGUGUCGCUCACACACAGGGACCCCACGGGUCGGCCCACUCAUGGUGCAGGCGGCUGGGAAGCCCCGUGGGCAGUGCUGGUCCUGGAGGCGGAAGCCCCGCACCUGCCCCAGAGAUCGAACGUCACACCCCCUUCGGCUCAGAGCUCAUUGGUCGGAAGCGGUCAUGUGGGGGGGACCCCGGAAGUGCCUUCCCGCGAGCAGCUGAGAGGUGGAGAGCCACAGCCACGUGGCGAACCACACUCAUGACAUCAAGCCAGGUGGCACCGGCGUUCAAGGCCUCCUCCAGCGACCAAGGUGUCCUCCCUAGAACACGCCCCGACACCACCUGUGCCCCCCUCCCAGGACUAAGCGCAGGGACUGAGUGCUGGCCCAGCGCUCGGUGUUCGUUAAAUUAAUAAAUCAGGCCAUGCAGGGGCUCCUGGGGGGCUC